GCAGUCGAGCGGAGAGAGGUAGCUUGCUACUGAUCUUAGCGGCGGACGGGUGAGUAAUGCUUAAGAAUCUGCUCUAUUAGUGGGGGACAACAUUGUCGAAAGGAAUGCUAAUACCGCAUACGUCCUACGGGGAGAAAGCAGGGGAUCUUCGGACCUUGCGCUAAUAGAUGAGCCUAAGUCGGAUUAGCUAGUGUGGNUGGGGUAAAGGCCUACCAAGGCGACAAUCUGUAGCGGGUCGUGAGAGGAUGAUCCGCCACACUGGGACUGAGACACGGCCCAGACUCCUACGGGAGGCAGCAGUGGGGGAAUAUUGGACAAUGGGCGCAAGCCUGAUCCACCCAUGCCGCGUGUGGUGAAGAAGGCCUUAUGGUUGUAAAGCACUUUAAGCGAGGAGGAGGCUACUUUAGUUAAUACCUAGAGAUAGUGGACGUUACUCGCAGAAUAAGCACCGGCUAACUCUGUGCCAGCAGCCGCGGUAAUACAGAGGGUGCAAGCGUUAAUCGGAUUUACUGGGCGUAAAGCGCGCGUAGGCGGCUAAUUAAGUCAAAUGUGAAAUCCCCGAGCUUAACUUGGGAAUUGCAUUCGAUACUGGUUAGCUAGAGUGUGGGAGAGGAUGGUAGAAUUCCAGGUGUAGCGGUGAAAUGCGUAGAGAUCUGGAGGAAUACCGAUGGCGAAGGCAGCCAUCUGGCCUAACACUGACGCUGAGGUGCGAAAGCAUGGGGAGCAAACAGGAUUAGAUACCCUGGUAGUCCAUGCC
rnacentral:rRNA from 1 species